rnacentral:rRNA from 1 species
CAAUAGCGUAUAUUAAAGUUGUUGCGGUUAAAAAGCUCGUAGUUGGAUCUCGGCAGGCAGGGGGUGGUUCGCUCUUAGCGCUACUGCCCCAUUUGCCUGUGUGAUUGGCGGAGGUUUCGGGGUGCUCUUCGUUGAGUGACACGGGGCGCCGUCAGGUUUACUUUGAAAAAAUUAGAGUGCUCAAAGCAGGCUUUUCACGCUUGAAUAUUCGUGCAUGGAAUAAUGGAAUAGGAACUCGUUUCUAUUUUGUUGGUUUUCGGAAAUCGAGUUAAUGAUUAAUAGGGACAAUUGGGGGCAUUAGUAUUCAGACGACAGAGGUGAAAUUCUUGGACCGUCUGAAGACUAACUACUGCGAAAGCAUUUGCCAAGAGUGUUUUCAUUAA